rnacentral:rRNA from 1 species
GACGAACGCUGGCGGCGUGCCUAAUACAUGCAAGUCGAGCGAAGUGGAGAGAGCUUGCUCUCGAAGCUUAGCGGCGAACGGGUGAGUAACACGUGGGCAACCUGCCCGAUAGACCGGGAUAACUUGGGGAAACUCAAGCUAAUACCGGAUAGGAUCAUUGACCGCCUGGUUGGUGAUGGAAAGUCUGAACGACACUAUCGGAUGGGCCUGCGGCGUAUUAGCUGGUUGGUGGGGUAACGGCCUACCAAGGCGACGAUGCGUAGCCGACCUGAGAGGGUGACCGGCCACACUGGGACUGAGACACGGCCCAGACUCCUACGGGAGGCAGCAGUAGGGAAUCUUCCACAAUGGGCGAAAGCCUGAUGGAGCAACGCCGCGUGAGUGAUGAAGGUUUUCGGAUCGUAAAACUCUGUUGUUAGGGAAGAACACCCGGGAGAGGAUCCCGGAAUGACGGUACCUGACGAGAAAGCCCCGGCUAACUACGUGCCAGCCGCCGCGGUAAGAC